rnacentral:rRNA from 1 species
CAGCUAGUUGGUGAGGUAAUGGCUCACCAAGGCGAAGAUCGGUAGCCGGCCUGAGAGGGCACACGGCCACACUGGCACUGAAACACGGGCCAGACUCCUACGGGAGGCAGCAGUGGGGAAUCUUGCACAAUGGAGGAAACUCUGAUGCAGCGACGCCGCGUGAGCGAUGAAGCCCUUCGGGGUGUAAAGCUCUUUCGACGGGAACGAUAAUGACGGUACCCGAAGAAGAAGCUGCGGCUAACUACGUGCCAGCAGCCGCGGUAAUACGUAGGCAGCAAGCGUUGUUCGGAAUUACUGGGCGUAAAGAGUGUGUAGGCGGUGCUCUAAGUCUGUUGUGAAAUCUCCCGGCUUAACCGGGAGGGUGCGGCGGAAACUGGAGUGCUUGAGGGUGGGAGAGGUAAGCGGAAUUCCUGGCGUAGCGGUGAAAUGCGUAGAUAUCAGGAGGAACACCUGUGGUGUAGACAGCUUACUGGACCACUUCUGACGCUGAGACACGAAAGCGUGGGUAGCAAACAGGAUUAGAUACCCUGGUAGUCCACGCCCUAAACGAUGCAUACUUGGUGUGAGCGAUUCAUUUCGUUCGUGCCGGAGCUAACGCGUUAAGUAUGCCGCCUGGGGAG